CCCUUAGAUGUCCGGGGCCGCACGCGCGCUACACUGAAGGAAUCAGCGUGUUUACGCUCCUGCGCCGAAAGGCGUGGGUAAUCCGCUGAAACUCCUUCGUGAUAGGGAUUGAGCUUUGUAAUUUUCGCUCAUGAACGAGGAAUUCCCAGUAAGCGCGAGUCAUCAGCUCGCGUUGAUUACGUCCCUGCCCUUUGUACACACCGCCCGUCGCUACUACCGAUUGGAUGAACUAGUGAGGUAAUCGGAUCGGCUGCAAUCUGCCUUCGGCCGCAAGGUCGGGCUCUUGCGGCGGAGAAGACGCCCAAACUAGNUNAUCUAGNGGAAGUAAAANUCGUANCA
rnacentral:rRNA from 1 species